UGUGUGUGGCUCCCUUUGUCCAGCAGUGGGCAGUAGUGCACUCCAUCUCAUGCAUUGCUGCCCAAUUGCAUGCAAGUAACUGUAUGCUCAUGAAAUAUAAACUAAAGUUAGUGUUUGUAAUAUUAUAUGUUUUGGAAUAUAUUUGUGUGGCUGUCUAUUUGAAUAUUUAAGUAUUGUUAGAUUGUAAAGUAUUGUAAAGCAUAUGGUGAUAUAAUGUUUAUAAGGUGCAUCUGUUUGUUUGAAAUGACAUUGUCAAAUAAUAUUGUGUGUGUAUGUGUGUGUGUGUGUGUGUGUUUGUGUUUCUUCGUGUGUUUUUGUGUGUAGCGGUUAUGACCCCCUGUGUUCCCCCCUGUCAGCAUGGAGGCACCUGCUCUCCUCACAACAUCUGUAGUUGCCCCCAUGGCACCAACGGGGGGCGCUGUGAGAAGCUUAUAUGUCCCGUGAUGACUAUGGUGGUCAGUACCACACGAGGAGUCAGAAAACCAACCAGGGAGAGCUAUAUGGACCGCUGUGGACCACUAGGAGUGCAUCUCUGCACCAAAUACAGGUAAUGUGUGUGAACUCACACAAACACAUACACACACACACGCCCUCACACAGAUGCCUAAUGAAGCACAUGUUUUCACUGUACUAAACAAGCAUACUUUCUAUUUUGGGUGUUUUCUUUGUAGGAUAAAUCAGGCACGGGUUUACUUGCAAGCCUACAGAGUGGGAUACAAGAUCCAGUGUCCAGAGAAAGGAGGAUGAGCCUAAAGAUGUAUUUACUAUUGUUAUAUGCCUUAAUACAGUGGUUCCCAAACUUUUUACAGUCCCGUACCCCUUCAGACAUUUAAUCUCCAGCUACGUACCACCCCCCACCCCUGGGGGUACGCGUACCCCAGUUUGGGAACCGAGGCCUUAAUACAACCCCCCCAAACACAUACAUACACACACACACACACAUAUACACACACACACACACACACACACACACACAGUCUUACACUACACACCCAAAGAACAUGACAACAACAGAGUUUGUUAAUAAUACACGCAUGCUGUCUCUGCAUCUUUGAGAUGUGCUGAGCAAGCGCAAGAGUGAGUGCCUUUGAUCAUUUUACAUCUACACAAUAAAUACAGGUUUUUAAAAACA
rnacentral:lncRNA from 1 species